GCCUGGGUAAUCUUKUGAAMUUUUGUCGUGAUGGGGAUAGACCMUUGCAAUUAUUGSUCUYCAACGAGGAAUUCCUAGUAAACGCGAGUCAUCAACUUGCAUUGAUUACGUCCCUGCCCUUUGUACACACCGCCCGUCGCUACUACCGAUUGAAUGGCU
rnacentral:rRNA from 1 species